GCAAGUCGAGGGGCAGCAUAACGAAAGCUUGCUUUGUGAUGGCGACCGGCGCACGGGUGAGUAACGCGUAUCCAACCUUCCCUAUACUAGAGAAUAGCCCGGCGAAAGUCGGAUUAAUGCUCUAUGUUCUUCUUUGAUGGCAUCUGACGAGAAGCAAAGGUUUACCGGUAUAGGAUGGGGGAUGCGUCUAAUUAGGUGUUGGCGGGUAACGGCCCACCAAGCCUACGAUCAGUAGGGGUUCUGAGAGGAAGGUCCCCCACAUUGGUACUGAGACACGGACCAAACUCCUACGGGAGGCAGCAGUGAGGAAUAUUGGUCAAGUGGGCGAGAGCCUGAACCAGCCAAGUAGCGUGCCAGGAUGACUGCCCUAUGGGUUGUAAACUGCUUUUAUGCGGGAAUAAAGUCAGGUACGUGUACCUGUUUGUAUGUACCGCAUGAAUAAGGACCGGCUAAUUCCGUGCCAGCCGCGGC
rnacentral:rRNA from 1 species